UACGAAGGUCCCAAGCGUUGUUCGGAAUCACUGGGCGUAAAGGGAGCGUAGGCGGCGUGGUAAGUCAGAUGUGAAAUCCCAGGGCUCAACCCCGGAACUGCAUCCGAUACUGCCAUGCUAGAGGAUUGGAGAGGUAGCUGGAAUUCUUGGUGUAGCAGUGAAAUGCGUAGAGAUCAAGAGGAACACUCGUGGCGAAAGCGAGCUACUGGACAAUUCCUGACGCUGAGGCUCGAAGGCUAGGGUAGCGAAAGGG
rnacentral:rRNA from 1 species